GAUGAACGCUGGCGGCGUGCCUAAUACAUGCAAGUCGAGCGAACAGAUGAGGAGCUUGCUCCUCUGACGUUAGCGGCGGACGGGUGAGUAACACGUGGAUAACCUACCUAUAAGACUGGGAUAACUUCGGGAAACCGGAGCUAAUACCGGAUAAUAUAUUGAACCGCAUGGUUCAAUAGUGAAAGACGGUUUUGCUGUCACUUAUAGAUGGAUCCGCGCCGCAUUAGCUAGUUGGUAAGGUAACGGCUUACCAAGGCAACGAUGCGUAGCCGACCUGAGAGGGUGAUCGGCCAAACUGGAACUGAGACACGGUCCAGACUCCUACGGGAGGCAGCAGUAGGGAAUCUUCCGCAAUGGGCGAAAGACUGACGGAGCAACGCCGCGUGAGUGAUGAAGGUCUUCGGAUCGUAAAACUCUGUUAUUAGGGAAGAACAAAUGUGUAAGUAACUAUGCACGUCUUGACGGUACCUAAUCAGAAAGCCACGGCUAACUACGUG
rnacentral:rRNA from 1 species